AGGGCACCACCAGGAGUGGAGCCUGCGGCUUAAUUUGACUCAACACGGGAAAACUUACCCGGCCCGGACACUGGAAGGAUUGACAGAUUGAGAGCUCUUUCUUGAUUCAGUGGGUGGUGGUGCAUGGCCGUUCUUAGUUGGUGGAGCGAUUUGUCUGGUUAAUUCCGACAACGAACGAGACUCUAGCCUACUAAAUAGACUGUUCAGCUUUAUAGCCGGAAUCACUGGGCGUGUAGCUCUCCGCAAGGGGGGUUGCAUGUUCGGCUCUGGUGACGUUGGCAGUGCUUCUUAGAGGGACAGGCGGCGGUUCAGCCGCACGAAACAGAGCAAUAACAGGUCUGUGAUGCCCUUAGAUGUCCGGGGCUGCACGCGCGCUACACUGAAGUGAUCAGCGUGCAAUUUACGUUUGGUGAUCUGUCAAGAUUGCCCAACCCGUUGAACCUUCGUCGUGAUUGGGAUAGGGGAUUGUAAUUAUUCCCCUUGAACGAGGAAUUCCCAGUAAGCGCAAGUCAUAAGCUU
rnacentral:rRNA from 1 species